UUUUUUAAAUUGAUUUUUAAUUUAUUAAAUGUGUAAAAAUCAUGUUGAUUCAUUUUUAUGGUCUUGUGAUGUUUGACUAUUUGUUUGGGCCUUGGUCAAGGUUAAUUUGACUUUUGUUGGAUUAAAACCAUUGGAUUUAGGGGAUUGAUGAAAUGUACAUUUCAUCUCCCAAAAUGAAUGAAUGGUUUUAAUUUGAUAAAAUCCUUCCUUGAUCAAUU
rnacentral:lncRNA from 1 species